rnacentral:lncRNA from 1 species
AUGGAUCCCUCAGCUUGGUGGCAGAAAUCCUUCAUCUCACCAGCACGGAUUUUCUGGCUUCCACCAUUGGCCUUUGAGCCCUCCAGAACUUCUCUGGGGCUGGGAGAAUCAAUGGCAGUUGGAACCAGCAAGAAAAUCAAGGGAUACUGCUUCCAGAGUGACCUUCCACAGUCAACAGUUGUCAGGUUCCCAGUGUGGAUGAGGGAAGGACAGCUACAGGAGACAGCUGGUGGUUGGAGAGCAGGCUGGAGCUGGUGA